rnacentral:rRNA from 1 species
UGGGGAAUUUUGGACAAUGGGCGCAAGCCUGAUCCAGCCAUGCCGCGUGAGUGAAGAAGGCCUUCGGGUUGUAAAGCUCUUUCGGCGGGGAAGAAAUUGCACUCUCUAAUACAGGGUGUAGAUGACGGUACUCGCAUAAGAAGCACCGGCUAACUACGUGCCAGCAGCCGCGGUAAUACGUAGGGUGCGAGCGUUAAUCGGAAUUACUGGGCGUAAAGCGUGCGCAGGCGGUUGUGUAAGUCAGAUGUGAAAGCCCCGGGCUCAACCUGGGAACUGCAUUUGAGACUGCAAGGCUAGAGUGUGGCAGAGGGGGGUGGAAUUCCACGUGUAGCAGUGAAAUGCGUAGAGAUGUGGAGGAACACCGAUGGCGAAGGCAGCCCCCUGGGCCAAUACUGACGCUCAUGCACGAAAGCGUGGGGAGCAAACA